UUCUGUGAAUGGCUGGUGGUGAUGGUAGCACAAGAGUGUGAAUGCACUUAAGGCCACUAAACUGUACACUUUAAAAUGGUUCAAGAGAGGAGAUAUUUUU